AGAGUGAACGCUGGCGGCAGGCCUAACACAUGCAAGUCGAACGGCAGCACAGAGGAGCUUGCUCCUUGGGUGGCGAGUGGCGGACGGGUGAGGAAUACGUCGGAAUCUGCCUAUUUGUGGGGGAUAACGUAGGGAAACUUACGCUAAUACCGCAUACGACCUACGGGUGAAAGCGGAGGACCUUCGGGCUUCGCGCAGAUAGAUGAGCCGACGUCGGAUUAGCUAGUUGGCGGGGUAAAGCCCACCAAGGCGACGAUCCGUAGCUGGUCUGGAGAGGAUGAUCAGCCACACGUAGGAACUGAGACACGGUCCACGACCUCCGACGGGACGCAGCGAGGUGGGAAUAGUUGGAACAAGU
rnacentral:rRNA from 1 species